rnacentral:rRNA from 1 species
UACGGAGGAUCCAAGCGUUAUCCGGAAUCAUUGGGUUUAAAGGGUCCGUAGGUGGUCCAUUAAGUCAGAGGUGAAAUCCUAUCGCUCAACGAUAGAACUGCCUUUGAAACUGAUAGACUUGAGUUAUUGUGAAGUAGUUAGAAUAUGUAGUGUAGCGGUGAAAUGCAUAGAUAUUACAUAGAAUACCGAUUGCGAAGGCAGAUUACUAACAAUAUACUGACACUGAGGGACGAAAGCGU